rnacentral:rRNA from 1 species
UACCCGUACUUGUACCUGGUGGCGAGCGGCGGACGGGUGAGUAAUGCCUAGGAAUCUGCCUAGUAGUGGGGGAUAACGUCCGGAAACGGGCGCUAAUACCGCAUACGUCCUACGGGAGAAAGUGGGGGAUCUUCGGACCUCACGCUAUUAGAUGAGCCUAGGUCGGAUUAGCUAGUUGGUGAGGUAAUGGCUCACCAAGGCGACGAUCCGUAACUGGUCUGAGAGGAUGAUCAGUCACACUGGAACUGAGACACGGUCCAGACUCCUACGGGAGGCAGCAGUGGGGAAUAUUGGACAAUGGGCGAAAGCCUGAUCCAGCCAUGCCGCGUGUGUGAAGAAGGUCUUCGGAUUGUAAAGCACUUUAAGUUGGGAGGAAGGGCAGUUACCUAAUACGUGAUUGUUUUGACGUUACCGACAGAAUAAGCACCGGCUAACUCUGUGCCAGCAGCCGCGGUAAUACAGAGGGUGCAAGCGUUAAUCGGAAUUACUGGGCGUAAAGCGCGCGUAGGUGGUUUGUUAAGUUGGAUGUGAAAGCCCCGGGCUCAACCUGGGAACUGCAUCCAAAACUGGCAAGCUAGAGUAUGGUAGAGGGUGGUGGAAUUUCCUGUGUAGCGGUGAAAUGCGUAGAUAUAGGAAGGAACACCAGUGGCGAAGGCGACCACCUGGACUGAUACUGACACUGAUGUGCGAAAGCGUGGGGAGCAAACAGGAGUAGAUACCCCUGGUAGUCCACGCCGUACACGAUGUCAACUAGCCGUUGGGAGCCUUGAGCUCUUAGUGGCGCAGCUAACGCAUUAUGUUGACCGCCUGGGGAGUACGGCCGCCCGGUUAAAACUCAAAUGAAUUUGACGGGGGCGCGCACACGCGGUGGAGCAUGUGGUUUUAAUUCUAAGCACCGCGAACACCUUUCCCGGCCUUGACAUCCAAUGAACUUUCCAGAUAUGGAUUGGUGCUUCUGGAGUAUUGAAACAGUGCUGAAUGGCUGUUGUCUGCUCGUGUCGUGCGAUGUUAGAAUAAGUCCCUUAACAAGCGCAACCCUUGUCCUAAUUACCCGUCGCUUUAUGUGGGCAGCUCUGACGAAAAUGACGAUGAACAAACCGGAAGGAAAGACGAGAAGAACGUCAAGUCCAUCUGGCCUCUAUCGUGCUGGCCUACAACAGUGGCUAACAAUGCAGGUCGUCAAGAGAGGGUGGCCAGUCGCA